rnacentral:rRNA from 1 species
GAUAGUACCUUACUACAUGGAUAACCGUGGUAAUUCUAGAGCUAAUACAUGCUAAAAACCCCAACUUCGGGAGGGGUGUAUUUAUUAGAUAAAAAACCAAUGCCCUUCGGGGCUCCUUGGUGAUUCAUAAUAACUUCUCAGAUCGCAUGGCUUUACGCCGGCGACGGUUCAUUCAAAUUUCUGCCCUAUCAACUUUCGAUGGUAAGGUAUUGGCUUACCAUGGUUUCAACGGGUAACGGGGAAUUAGGGUUCGAUUCCGGAGAGGGAGCCUGAGAAACGGCUACCACAUCCAAGGAAGGCAGCAGGCGCGCAAAUUACCCAAUUCCGAUACGGAGAGGUAGUGACAAUAAAUACUGAUACAGGGCUCUUUUGGGUCUUGUAAUUGGAAUGAGUACAAUUUAAACCUCUUAACGAGGAACAAUUGGAGGGCAAGUCUGGUGCCAGCAGCCGCGGUAAUUCCAGCUCCAAUAGCGUAUAUUAAAGUUGUUGCAGUUAAAAAGCUCGUAGUUGAACCUUUGGCCUGGCUGGCAGGUCCGCCUCACCGCGUGCACUUGUCCGGCCGGGCCUUUUCUUCUGGAGAACCGCAUGCCCUUCACUGGGUGUGUUGGGGACCAGGACUUUUACUUUGAAAAAAUUAGAGUGUUCAAAGCAGGCCUUUGCUCGAAUACGUUAGCAUGGAAUAAUAGAAUAGGACGUGCGGUCCUAUUUUGUUGGUUUCUAGGACCGCCGUAAUGAUUAAUAGGGACAGUCGGGGGCAUCAGUAUUCAAUUGUCAGAGGUGAAAUUCUUGGAUUUAUUGAAGACUAACUACUGCGAAAGCAUUUGCCAAGGAUGUUUUCAUUAAUCAGUGAACGAAAGUUAGGGGAUCGAAGACGAUCAGAUACCGUCGUAGUCUUAACCAUAAACUAUGCCGACUAGGGAUCGGGCGGUGUUUCUAUUGUGACCCGCUC